rnacentral:misc_RNA from 1 species
GAUGAAGAACGCAGCGAAAUGCGAUAAGUAAUGUGAAUUGCAGAAUUCAGUGAAUCAUCGAAUCUUUGAACGCACCUUGCGCCCUUUGGCUAUUCCGAAGGGCAUGCCUGUUUGAGUAUCAUGAACACCUCAACUCUCAUGGUUUGCCAUGAUGAGCUUGGACUUUGGGGGUCUUGCCUGCCUAUGGGUCGGCUCCUCUCAAAUUAAUCAGCUUGCCAGUGUUUGGUGGCAUCACAGGUGUGAUAACUAUCUACGCUUGUGGUUUUCCAUCAGGUAACCUUCAGUGAUGGAGGUUCGCUGGGGCUCAUAAAUGUCUCUCCUCAGUGAGGACAGCUUUUUUGAACGUUUGAUCUCAAAUCAGGUAGGACUACCCGCUGAACUUAAGCAUAUCAAUAAGCGGAGGA